GCCAAUCUUGUGGCGCAAUGGGUCAGCGCAUCUGGCUGUUAACCAGAAGGUUAUUGGUUCAAGCCCACCCAGGGACA